AGUGAACGCUGGCGGUAGGCCUAACACAUGCAAGUCGAACGGCAACACAGUAAGAGCUUGCUCUUACGGGUGGAGAGUGGCGGACGGGUGAGGAAUACACCGGAAUCUACUUGUUAGUGGAGGAAAACGUAGGGAAACUUACGCUAAUACCUCAUACUAACUGCGGGUGAAAGCAGGGGAUCUUCGGACCUUGCGCGAUUGAAUGGGCCGAUGUCGGAUUAGCUAGUUGGCGGGGUAAAGGCCCACCAAGGCGACGAUCUGUAGCUGGUCUGAGAGGACGACCAGCCACACUGGAACUGAGACACGGUCCAGACUCCUACGGGAGGCAGCAGUGGGGAAUAUUGGACAAUGGGCGCAAGCCUGAUCCAGCAAUACCGCGUGGGUGAAGAAGGCCUUCGGGUUGUAAAGCCCUUUUGUUGGGAACGAAAAGCAGCAGGUUAAUACCCCGCUGUGCUGACGGUACCGAAAGAAUAAGCACCGGCUAACUUCGUG
rnacentral:rRNA from 1 species